rnacentral:lncRNA from 1 species
AUAAAAAUGGUGGCAAAGCGUGCGACCACUCUGAGCCGGAACCUGUUUACGGAUAAAGCUCUCUCCAGAGGGUGUUUUUCAUAAGCUUGAGUUUCGAAUGUUGUACCUCACAGAGUAUCCAGCUAAUAUUCGCCCAAGUUUUUAAUACUAGUGGAGAAGUGAAAAGAAGAAUUAUUAUUUUUUAAAUAUCCUCCGUACACUUUGUAUGUUAAAUUAGUUUAAACAAUUUGAAAAUUAUUCUUCUUUUU